CCGGCAAACCGUUCUAUCGCUGCUUUGUAAAAAGGAGAGGAAAGUCCGGGCAACAUAGAGUAACAUACUUCCUAACGGGAAGAAGGUCGAAAGACUUUAGUAGUAGAACAGAAAAGAACCGCCUUCGGGUAAGGGUGAAAAGGUGAGGUAAGAGCUCACCAGCACUGAUGGUGACAUUGGUGGCUGUGUACCUUAUGUGUUGCAAGAUCAAGUACACCGGCGUAUGUAGGCUGACUCGGCUGAUGUUCGGGGGGUGGAUUGCUCGAGACAUUUGGUGACAAAUGUUCUAGAUAAAUGAUAGAAAUUCUUUUCGGAGAAUACAGGACCCGGCUUACAGGUUUGCCUUUUUU
rnacentral:RNase_P_RNA from 2 species